rnacentral:rRNA from 1 species
GGCUGAAACUCGCCUACAUGAAGCUGGAGUUGCUAGUAAUCGCGAAUCAGCAUGUCGCGGUGAAUACGUUCCCGGGCCUUGUACACACCGCCCGUCACACCAUGAGAGUUGGCAAUACCCAACGUACGUGAUCUAACCCGCAAGGGAGGAAGCGUCCUAAGGUAGGGUCAGCGAUUGGGGUGAAGUCGUAACAAGGUAGC